rnacentral:rRNA from 1 species
UGGGGAAUAUUGCGCAAUGGGGGGAACCCUGACGCAGCCAUGCCGCGUGAAUGAAGAAGGCCUUCGGGUUGUAAAGUUCUUUCGGUAUUGAGGAAGGUUGAUGUGUUAAUAGCACAUCAAAUUGACGUUAAAUACAGAAGAAGCACCGGCUAACUCCGUGCCAGCAGCCGCGGUAAUACGGAGGGUGCGAGCGUUAAUCGGAAUAACUGGGCGUAAAGGGCACGCCAGGCGGUUAUUUAAGUGAGGUGUGAAAGCCCUGGGCUUAACCUAGGAAUUGCAUUUCAGACUGGGUAACUAGAGUACUUUAGGGAGGGGUAGAAUUCCACGUGUAGCGGUGAAAUGCGUAGAGAUGUGGAGGAAUACCGAAGGCGAAGGCAGCCCCUUGGGAAUGUACUGACGCUCAUGUGCGAAAGCGUGGGGGAGCACAAACAGGAUUAGAUACCCUGGUAGUCCACGCUGUGAACCUGUCGAUUUGGGGGGUUGGGGUUUAACUCUGGCGCCCGUAGCUAACGUGAUAAAUCGACCGCCUGGGGAGUACGGCCGCAAGGUUA